rnacentral:rRNA from 1 species
GUGCCAGCCGCCGCGGUAAUACGGAGGAUCCAAGCGUUAUCCGGAUUCAUUGGGUUUAAAGGGUGCGUAGGCGGAACGAUAAGUCAGUGGUGAAAGCCUGCAGCUUAACUGCAGAACUGCCAUUGAUACUGUCGAUCUUGAGUACAUUUGACGAGGGCGGAAUGUGUCAUGUAGCGGUGAAAUGCUUAGAUAUGACACAGAACACCGAUUGCGAAGGCAGCUCUCGAAACUGUAACUGACGCUGAGGCACGAAAGCGUGGGUAUCAAACAGGAUUAGAUACCCGCGUAGUCC